AUACGUAGGGGGCGAGCGUUGUCCGGAAUGAUUGGGCGUAAAGGGCGCGUAGGCGGCCUGUUAAGUCUGGAGUGAAAGUCCUGUUUUCAAGAUGGGAAUUGCUUUGGAUACUGAUGGGCUUGAGUGCAGGAGAGGUUAUCGGAAUUCCCGGUGUAGCGGUGAAAUGCGUAGAGAUCGGGAGGAACACCAGUGGCGAAGGCGGGUAACUGGACUGCAACUGACGCUGAGGCGCGAAAGUGUGGGGAGCAAACAGGAUUAGAUACCCUGGUAGUCCACACUGUAAACGAUGAAUGCUAGGUGUAAGAGGUAUCGACCCCUUUUGUGCCGGAGUUAACACAAUAAGCGUUCCGCCUGGGGAGUACGGCCGCAAGGUUGAAACUCAAAGGAAUUGACGGGG
rnacentral:rRNA from 1 species